CUCAUAUGCUAUUACCCCUUUUUUUACUUCGAUUAUCAAUGCAUUUUAUACAUCGAUUUUAUCGAUGUAAAACUCCAUCAAAAUCGAAGUUGCAGAUCAGGAUGGCUGCUCGUUUCAGAUCUGAAGACAACCCAAAACAGAUCAAAGUUGCAGGCGCUUAAGGCCAAGGGGGCACAGAAAAAGGCAACUUAGGCAGAUGAGAAGGCUAGACGACUGCUUGAGGUGAGAGAAGGGGAAGGUGCAGGUAGGAAGGCCGAUUCACAGGCCUGAUUCUAUACUUAAUUCAGAUAAAAGUUUUCUAUCUAAGAAGUGAGCACAGGAAAGAAAGGGCCGGAAAUGGGUUGUCUCAGAUGGAUUUCGAGGCAAGUUUCCCAUUUGGGUAUGUUUUUUGUUUUUGUUUUCUUCUUUUUUGUUUUUAGAUAUUCACUUUUUUGUGUUAGUUCAUGGUGGUUAAUACUGAGGGAUCGAGUUCUCUGUCUGUUUUCUACUUUGCCAAUUCUUGUAUUUGAGUAGAGAAAGAAUCUCGAAGCUCUUCUAUUCUCUUUCUUCUUUUAUUUUAAUUUGUUAAGCACAUGUAGGAACUCGUUCUUCUCCACUUGGAGAAGAUUUAAAUGCUUAUUUAUUAAUAUGUGUUUCCCCUU